GUCAAACAUGUGUUGUUUGUAAACUGGUUGACCGUGUUUUCAUAUAGGUGUUGAGAGAGCGGCUUCAACAACGAAUGAAACAACGCGAGGAAACUCUUGUACUGAAGCAAAAGGACGAGUUGUCUCAAUAUAUGAGCAAUCUCAAUGUGAACAACAUGGCCAUGAAGUUAA